rnacentral:rRNA from 1 species
UGGCUCAGAACGAACGCUGGCGGCGUGCUUAACACAUGCAAGUCGAACGCGAAAGGGACUUCGGUCCUGAGUAAAGUGGCGCACGGGUGAGUAACGCGUAGAUAACCUGUCUUCAUGUCUGGAAUAAUACGCCGAAAGGGGUACUAAUACCGGAUAUUCUUGCUUUUCAUAAGUUAUGCAAGCAAAGGUGGCCUCUGCAUAUGCUACUGCAUGAAGAGGGGUCUGCGUACCAUUAGCUAGUAGGUGGGGUAAUGGCCUACCUAGGCGACGAUGGUUAGCGGGUCUGAGAGGAUGAUCCGCCACACUGGCACUGGAACACGGGCCAGACUCCUACGGGAGGCAGCAGUGAGGAAUAUUGCGCAAUGGGGGAAACCCUGACGCAGCGACGCCGCGUGAGUGAGGAAGGCCUUCGGGUCGUAAAGCUCUGUCAAGAGGAAAGAAGUGUACAAUGGCUAAUACCUGUUGUAUUUGACGGUACCUCUAAAGGAAGCACCCGGCUAACUCCGUGCCAGCCGCGGC